UUAAUUUUUCAAAAAUAUUUUUUUAUUUGAUAGUGAUCCAGGUACAAGAAAAGAAAGAACAUGACUUUAUCUUACAGGACAUGAGGAAUGACACUGUAAAAGUUUAUUUUCUCAAUCCACGUUUUCUCUUGGACAAGGACAUGCAAGUGAAUACAGUAAAGUUGUUCUCUUUACAGAAAGAAAAGAGCAGUAUGUAUAAAUGGCAUAGGAGCAGGGAGCCAUCACCUCGUCCCUGCACUGUACAGAAAGACGUCACCCAACAACUUUACUUUUUAUCUUAUUUUUUAAUCCACUUUUAUAGCAAAAAGGCGACACACAGAUAGGCUACAAAGAACCAACAAUAUUGAGAACAAAGGAACAACAGAGAGAGGGGGAGAGAGAGAGAGAGAGAGAGAGAGAGAGAGAGAGAGAGAGAGAGAGAGAGAGAGAGAGAGAGAGAGAGAGAGAGAGAGAGAGAGAGAGAGAGAGCGGAAAGGCCAGAGUACUUUUCCAUCCUUGCCAAAAUAAAAGUUUCAUUUUUUUUCUGUUGUCUCGACAAGCAAAAAUGGUGAGCGUUUAUUUUAUUUUUUUGCUCCUUGUGUUCCGGAAAGGAUUUUUAGUCGGUUAAGUUUUGACAUGAGAGAAGCAGCGUGGUAAACAUGCAUGACAAAGAGUGACUCGGAACCUUCUGGAAAACCAUGGAAUCUUUCUGUCGCCAAGCCGACCACCGUUCAGGACCCCCAACUCUUUACUCACAUUACACUCUUUACAAGGAACAAAAAAAAAGAAGACAUCUUAUAGUCCACAAAUCUUUAUGCAUAUUUCACAAUAUACCUUUAUUAUCAUUUUUAAUAAAUACGAAAACAACAACACUGUGAUUCCAAAAGAAAAGGAAAAAAAAAAGAGAACAUGAGUAUUAAAGAGACACGAAAAAACGCCUUUGACGCUGGAAAUAUCAAUAUUAAUUUGGUAUGUUCUGUCACUGACAUCUUGUUUUUUAAGUUGGAUGGUCCAGCACGUUAUAGUUGGAAUAAUAAAAAUUAAAAAAAGAAAUUCAAAAUUCAAAAUGGCGGACAACAGUAUAGGACGCGACAGUUGGGGAUUGUUUUCAGCGAUGGAACUGAAACGGCGUGACCAAGUUAGGAGAGGCAUAUGGAUAUAUACACAGAUAUUUAUAUAUAUAUAUGUAUAUACAUACACACACACACACACACACAUACAAACAUCACCAAAAUGCAAAAUAACCUGAGAUACUCUUUGCACCUCAUGUCCAGAACUCUGGCUGGUGACGGGAUGAGACGGGGAUGAAGCCAACAGUACAACAGCGACAUUGACAACCUUCGUCCUUCCAACCGUCAAAAACACUUCAAGAUAAAAGAAGACAUUUUCCUCAUCCAAAAAUGUUACUUUAAGCAGCGAUUUUGUGUGUUUGAGUCCAUAAAAGGCAUUUUUUUAACAAAUUAAAUGCAAAAAAAAAGAAAGAAAAAAACCACAAUAGGGACAUCAUUUUUAGAACAUUGCGGACAAGAGGGUGAGAUCCAUCGUACGUGGCAAUGGGAGGGGGGCAGAGAGGUGUUUUACAGUGGGAGGGGGGAGAAGGGGUGAGACAGGAAGUAGAGGGCUCCUGUCUGUGGCUAUAGAGGACGAGGCAGUGAGACCUGCUGGCUCCACCACAAGGCUUAUCUCCAUAACAACCGCUCCUGUCUGCUUCAGAAGCUAUCGGCGUCUCCGCAGAAAGCUAGGCUAUCCCGCCUCGUUCGCUUUGCCCUUCGCUCUUCUCCAGUUCGGAGGGUCGACCGACGCUGAAUAGAUGGCCAACCGCUACGUGCUAAUAGUAUAAUUGAGGUACCACACCACAGUCUUCUGAUUUAAUCGAAUAAUGAUAAAAUACCAGCACGUUCACCCAACCAGGCUGGUGGUAUGUAUGCCAAAUGUUUUUCUCGAAGUAAGGGAAUUAAGAAAAAUAAUCAACGAGAAUCACAAGAUCACCCCAAUACAGUGAACCUCCGUGUGCAUUUAAUUCCAGCCUAUCAAAAACAAAGAAACAAUAAAUCAGCAACGAACCUCCCCUUUAAGGAUCUCUACCUUAUAGUAAGCCCACACCUACUGAAUACAAGCCAACCGGCCCAAACUCUGGGCAUGAGCUUUCCAUCUGUUGCUGUCCAAGAGCAAUGCCCGGGCCGUUAAUAUAUCUCUGUACAUUAGUAUAUAUUCUCAUCUCUCUUUACUUUACAGUACAGAACACUCCUCUUCACAUAUCAUCUCCGGUUCUUCAUGUCAGCAGGAGUUUUAUGUUUUUUGUGCUUAUCACCAAGAAUUGCAGUGCAAAAACAAUAAUUAAUUAAUUAUAACAAUAGUAAUGGUCAUUAAUCAAAUGAUACCUAUUAACAAACAAUGGAUUAUUAUAAAACAAUUAUUUUUUAUGGCACAAUCGCCACGCAAUUCACAUAUAAUACAAAUAACCAGAUAAAACCCAACUGCACCUGUAAAUAGAAAAUAAAAAACUCAAACUGAAAUAGGCUUGCAUAGCAAUGCAACGACAAUUAAAAGGACGUAUUUACAGGAAACAUAAUUCAGUUAUUUUCCACUGAGGGCAGUUCCUUUAACAAAUUAACCGUUUCUCGUAUAGAGGUUGUGUUUUACAUUUUUUCUCCUUUUGUUUGUUGUUUUUUUAACAAAAAAGAAAAUUACAAUUACGUUAGAAGGUGGAAAAUAUUUUCUCGAAGCACAGAAACAGUGAGAUGCACAGUAUGUCUGCGUCUGUACAUCGCAUUUACAGUUCUGCGACCUGGCGCCUUCCCCUCUGCCUCAGUCCGUCUCCGUGAGAGGAUACAGGAGCGGUCAAAGUUCAUGGUACCUUCUAACGAGGUGUCUCUUUCUCUCUCUCCCUCUGAUGACAACAUCCUCCUGGCUGGUCACUCUGGAAGGGGAGAGCGGGAGGGAAUAGACAUUCAGCACACGGCAAAAGACCAACCCAAAAGGACCAAAA
ensembl:lncRNA